rnacentral:misc_RNA from 1 species
UUUCCGUAGGUGAACCUGCGGAAGGAUCAUUCAUAAUAAGUGUCUUACUGCACUUUUUAAAAAUCAGUAUUCACCUUGUGUGCAAUGUUUGCUGACGAGUUCGCGUUUUUGCGCGUUCUUGGCAGUAUAAUACCAACCCUUUAUCGAAAUUUUUUGUCUGAAAUUUUUUGAAUACAUAAUUCGAAAUACAACUUUUAACAACGGAUCUCUUGGCUCUCGCGUCGAUGAAGAACGCAGC